GACGAACGCUGGCGGCGUGCUUAACACAUGCAAGUCGAACGGUAAGGCCCCUUCGGGGGUACACGAGUGGCGAACGGGUGAGUAACACGUGGGUAAUCUGCCCUGCACUUCGGGAUAAGCCUGGGAAACCGGGUCUAAUACCGGAUAUGAACUCCUGCCGCAUGGUGGGGGCUGGAAAGUUUUUCGGUGCAGGAUGCGCCCGCGGCCUAUCAGUUGGUUGGUGGGGUAAUGGCCUACCAAGCCGACGACGGGUGGCCGGCCUGCGAGGGUGAUCGGCCGAACUGGGACUGGGGGACGGCCGAGAGUCCUACGGGAGGCAGCAGGGGGGAAUAUUCAGCGAUGGGCGAAAGCCUGAUGCAGCGACGCCGCGUGGGGGAUGACGGUCUUCGGAUGAUAAACCCCUUUCAUUAGGGACGAAGCGCAAGUGACGGUACCUGCAGAAGAAGCGCCGGCUAACUACGUGCCAGCAGCCGCCGUAAUAC
rnacentral:rRNA from 1 species